rnacentral:misc_RNA from 2 species
GAUUUGCGUUAGGGAUGGAAGCGGCAUCUCCCGAUUUAGAAAAACAAGGCUUUUUAGCCGUAGUUUUUGUUAAUCGGGAAUAUAGUGUACAGUCCGGCCGUAG